rnacentral:miRNA from 1 species
ACCGCUUCCUUCCUUGCGCAC